ACGUUACACUGUAAGGAAAUGUGGGGCUUAUCUCAGCUAUGCAAUCCUAAUUAAACUUCAUUAGAUUAUCCAUCAUAUUUUGACAGUCAGAAAAGCUAACAAACCUCUACGUUUCAUAAAUGUGCUCUUAAGCUCUUAAUAAGUUAAAAAUCUUGUUACUUAUUAUAUCAAGUACUUACUCAAUUGUCUGUCAUUUAUUUCCUCAUUGUUAUUGAUAUAAAACAUCUUUGCAAUGGGAAUUGUUGUCUAGGAGCAGCCUGUCUGAUCAUAGCGCCGCCUAUCAUCACAGCACUCGACGCCCCCUGGUGAGACCAUAACUCUCUACAUCAAGCUCGUCGCCCUCUGGUGAGACCACAGCACUCUACAUCAAGCUUAGCGCCCCCAGAUUUGAUUUUGUCGUUUCCAUGGAGAAUCACUGACGGGUCACCACUUUCCAAUUAAAGAAACUGCUAAUUAAGAACAAAGUGUGAGGGCCUCUCUUACGCCCUGUAGAGGAAUGCCGCAGAAGAGGAGAAGCAGAAGCAGAGGAGGCAGAGGGAGCAUGAUGCACACCGAUUCGCGUCGUGGGACUUCCUAGACAUUACCAUCGUAACUGACGGCUACAGUGUUUUAUACUGAUAUUCCACGUGUUUUUUAGACAAAUUUGUUGUAUUUUAUACUAAUCGUUUAUUGUAAGUAAAGUUCAAUCCCAUACAUGUAUGAGAAUGUGGUCUCGCGUUUUAUGUGUACGACAGCGGCCUGUUGUCAGAAAUUCUCAUUUCAUGCUCAUU